AGGUGGUGCAUGGCUUUGUGCGAGUGAGAAGCUGUGUCGUUCAGUGUUGUGACUUUUUACACUUAUUUUUGCAAUAUAAUAAUUGUUAAAUAAUUAUAAAUUGUUAAUAAAUCGGUUAAUUAAAUUAUUCUAAACAAAAUGUGCUAUAAUUUAUUGAGGAAUUUUGUGAAUUUUGGCCAAAAUUAAUAGACCUGUCAAGACUCUUGGAGCUGACAAAGGCAGCUAUUUAUGUGUUAAAUAAUAAACAAAUGCUAUACCUAUAACAAAAAAUAUGGAUGGAAGUAUUUGACGUUUGUAUCAAUAUAAUUAAAAAUGAGACUUAACAAAAGACUAAAUUGGUUUAUCAUUGAAGCCAAAAUUAUUUUUGAGUACAUUGUAUCAAAUUUAAUUAUGGCUAAAACAUUAGUCUUGAUAAUUCAUGUAGUCCCAGAUUUACAUAAUGAAAAACAAUCAUCAAAUACUGGUAAACUUGAACCAGCAACAAAAUAAAAAAAAAACCAAGCAUCAAGACCAUCUACAUGAUAUGCUUAUGCUUCAACAAUGAUGAGUCCCUGAUAAUGAAUAAUCAUUACUCAAUUAUUAACAUUUUGCAAGUACAAUUGAAUCCAAAACAUGUCAAGUUUAAAUGAAAUCCAACGCGUCAUGAGUUAUCUGAUAUGAUUUUAUCAAUCUCUUACUGGAGCAAUCAAUAACAUCACAUGGUGCUGGUAUUAUUGACUCUCAUGCUCUCUCUAAUGUACCAGUUAUUGUUGUUAUUGUUAAACGUUUGCCAAUUUUUAUUGAAAUUGUCUUUGGUAAAGUGGUUGUGAUGCUCAUAUAAAUAACAACAUGUUGGUCUUGAGAGUUGAAAGGGUUGAAAGCAGCUGAGAGCAUUAGAGCACAUCAGAGAGCACCAGAAUAUACUGCCUCUAUAAAGUGCUUGCCUCUCUAUCCAAGAGCUUGUCUACAUCAAAGAGCUUGCCGCUAUAGCAACAACGUGUAUAUUAUCAACUUAGCCGACAACUCGAGACCUUUCGAAAUGGAUAAACCACUUUCAAAUAAUAAUAAUAAUAAUAUAGACUA